rnacentral:rRNA from 1 species
UACGUGAAACCGUUCAGGGGUAAACCUGAGAAACCCAAAAGAUCGAAUGGGGAGAUUCAUCGUCAACGGUGCUGGCUCCCGUUUGUGCGCGAUGCUCCGAGUGGGCCCUCGUGGUUCCAUGGCGAGGGCACGCCACUUUCGGCUUGAACGUUCCGGCACCGUAGUCGUGCACUUCUCCCCUAGUAGAACGUCGCGACCCGUUGCGUGUCGGUCUACGGCCCGAGCGGGCGCCUGUCGCGGCGCAUUACGCGCACGCGGCAGACCCUCGGUUGCCCGGCCGGCUGCGCGACGGUACUCACACGGUAUCGGGCCGCAACCAAUCCAUUCUCGAAUGUGUGUGCGUCAGGCCCGCCGCAAGCUAGGGCAGUUUUACCCGGAGGUACGGACCUGGUGCCGUCCCCGGGCCUGACCAGCUGUUAGCAGGCGGUGUCCUCGGACUGGCCAAGCUUCGAAUUACCGGUCGGCGACGCUCCUGCUUUGGGUACUCUCAGGACCCGUCUUGAAACACGGACCAAGGAGUCUAACAUGUGCGCGAGUCAUUGGGAUGCAUAAACCUAAAGGCGCAAUGAAAGUGAAGGUCGGCCUACGCGUCGACCUAGGGAGGAUGGGCCGCGUUACGAUGCGGCCCCGCACUCCCGGGGCGUUUCGUUCUCAUUGCGAGAAGAGGCGCACCUAGAGCGUACACGUUGGGACCCGAAAGAUGGUGAACUAUGCCUGGUCAGGACGAAGUCAGGGGAAACCCUGAUGGAGGUCCGUAGCGAUUCUGACGUGCAAAUCGAUCGUCGGAACUGGGUAUAGGGGCGAAAGACUAAUCGAACCAUCUAGUAGCUGGUUCCCUCCGAAGUUUCCCUCAGGAUAGCUGGCACUCGCUCGUUCCUCCGUGAACGCGUGCGAGUCUCAUCUGGUAAAGCGAAUGAUUAGAGGCCUUGGGGCCGAAACGACCUCAACCUAUUCUCAAACUUUAAAUGGGUGAGAUCUCUGGCUUGCUUGGAUUAUGAAGCCACGAGAUUUUGGAUCAGAGUGCCAAGUGGGCCAAUUUUGGUAAGCAGAACUGGCGCUGUGGGAUGAACCAAACGCAGAGUUAAGGCGCCUAAGUCGACGCUUAUGGGAUACCAUGAAAGGCGUUGGUUGCUUACACAGCAGGACGGUGCCAUGGAAUCCGAUCCCU